GAGACCUCGUCUUUAUAAAAAUUAAUAAUAGUUUCUUCAGAAAGCUUAUAGAAAACCAUAUUCAGGAAGUUGUUUUUUUUUUUUAUUGUAGCAAUCCAGGUAAGAGACACAGAAAACUGUAAAUGAUGCAAAAACAGCUGAACUGAAUAUGAGAGAUGUUCAAGAGGUAUGUGAUGGGAUGAUAUUUUGAAAUUUGGAUUUCUGCUGCUUUCCUGGCAUUUAUUGUUCCUUUCAACAAAUGUAUUCUACUCACUUGGCCCUCAGGUUUGGGUUAUUACCAUAGUAAUGAAAGGGUCAGUUCUCUACUUUUGAAUUUCCCACCUCAAAUGAGAUUUUUUUUUUUUAAGUGACACCUCCCAUGUAGCAAGGAGGGAGAGUGGAAGGAAAUGAGAGGGUGGCACAUAUCACUAUGGAGGGGCCCUGAGCACAACCUCCUCUCCCUGGUUGCCCGGUACAUCAGCCUUAGAUGGUAGCAGGGAGGGUAAAAAAGUGAACCUUCAGACAGGAUAGGAGAUUGAAGAGCAGAGGACGCCCAUGCUUCAAGUUCCAGGUGUGACCUACAGAAGAGUAUCUUUGGGCCAGGGUGAUGCAGCAGCCACUGAGUGGAAAUGACAACAUGGUGUUUUUAAGCUAAGAGGGGCCCCACCCAUUUCUUGGGGCUCCAGUGUGGCAUAGGAAGGCAUCUGAAAUGUUUCCGUGUCCCAUUGCUCUAGCAGGUAUGACAAAAGAGCUACUGUGUUAGAUAUGAGGACACACGUUCACCUGGGUGGAUAUGGGACCAAAGACAAGAUGGACAUCUCAGUGGAUGCUGGUAGAGAAAGGAGCCAGUGACCAGGGCCAGAGGGAGCCCACUGUCUGAGCAAAUGCCAGCAUAAAUCAGUUAUGACCUGAGAAGAUGUUCCCACUACCAAUAGACAUUGCAGGAUGUGAUACCACUCUGGAGGACUUUGAAGCUUCUGGAUUUGGUUGAAGAAAGAUGCUUUGGACAUUUUGAAUUUGAGUUGCUUCUCCAGAAGUCUUAUGUAUCUGAAGCAUGGGAGAGAGUAUAAGCUGGGGAAAUAAGUUUGGGGAUUACCAGAAAAGCAGUGGGUAAGGCCAUGAGCAAAUGAAAUCAAAUAGAGGAUGAAGAGAACAGGAGCCCUAGCAAACCCUGACAGUUAAAGAGUAUGCAGGGAAAAGGACUUGGAAAGGACCCUGUAAAGAAAGAUCCAACAUGACCUGAAGAAGAACUGAGAGCCUUUCUGUAAUUUAGAGUGACACAAAUAGUAUCUGGAAGCAGGACCUGAAGUAGGAUCAGUUUUGGACAGAUAUGGCAAUUCUCGAUACCAGUGUGCAGCACUUACAGGAGCCCUUUGAGCUCUCCACUUUCGCAACUCACCUCUUCUGCCCUGGUGCUGGGAUCUAUUUUUGUUAUCAUCAGCCAGGAAGAUACAAGGCCUCUUCCAAGAUGAAGACGAAACUAUUGACAGAUAUUUUGUCAAGACCAAAUUUUCCCUAAGAGCCCUGUCACAGAUUGCUCCCUGGGCAGGAUGCGGCCUCCUUCAGAGAGUGAAGAACACACCAAAAGAUCCUAUACUAAAUUAAUCAUGAAGCUGCAUGAACCAGGCUGGAAUACAGUUACCAAUCUGCUUUAAGUCUCCCACUUAGAUGGCCCGAAGCCACCUGAACUGAAAGUUGGAUGAAGCUCUGCUUUGAGUUCCAUCGUGGAGCAUCGUGUGGCCUAGGUCCUUAGCCAAUGCCUGCUAAAUAUUAGCUUGAGUCGCAAUAAAGAGAAAAGGUCCAAACUCUCCCCUUGGCUAAUGAUUUAUUCAUCAAACCAACAUGUCUCAAACCUGUAAUUCUAGUUUUGUUUUCUGAAAAGGUGUUUUUCUAUUUGAAAGAGAAAUAGCUGUAGGGAAGGAGAAUAAGAACUUUCAUGGCACACCCAGUAUGUGUUGCGCACUUGGCAUGUAAACUCACUUAGCCCUCACUCCAGCCCUGGGGAGGUGAGCAGUGGCUCUGCUUCACAGACGAGCACCCUGACACUCCAGGAAAUCGGUCAUCACCCAACACCCUUUAACUAGUGAAGGACGGAAUCUGAUUUGAACUCAGGUGUGCUUUUUUUCUCCAGGAAGCAUACUUUCCUUUGCCAGCCUCAGCGAUGAGAGUAACAGAGACAGAAAGAUAAGAGAAAAGGAGUUGACUGCUCACUUACGAGGCUGUUGCUGGACUUUUUAGAGCCUAGGAUGCCUUUGAGAAAACCGACAAACCUGAAAACGUGAUGAAGAUAACAUCUCUCAACUUCCCCCUGGAUUCAGCCCCACUACUCUGCCAAAAUUGCUCUCACCAAGUUACCCAGUGACCUCCAAGUUGUCCACUCCAGGAACACUCCUGAGUCCUCAUCUUCCUGGAAUGCUCCUCAUGACCAUCAGGGAAUCUUCUGCUGCCUGUGAAAGGAAGCCCAACUCCAACUGCUGCAAGCAGAACUAGAUGGAGUCUCGCCAUGUUGCCCAGGCUGGUCUCGAACUCCUGGACUCAGGUGAUCUACCUCAAGCCUCUGGAAGUGCUGGGAUCACAGGUGAGAACCAUUGGUGAUUGUUUAGGAUCCAGUUCCACAGAAAGUCAGUCAGAAAAUAGAAAUUCCACAUUCUUCAAUUGCACCCAGUUCUACAAAGAGCAGACAUGAAGGUAGGGAUACUUCUCUGUUUUUAUUGUUGACUUAAAGUGCUCCCUAUUGAAUAACAUUCAUUUUGUGACAUGUGAAUGAAGCAAUUCCCAUUUCUCUUAUAUAAGGACAUGUAGAUGAUUACUGAUGCUUUUUCAGAUCUGUCCAGGAGCAUCUAUUUUAGCCUCAGAGGUUUUUGCUUCUAAAUUACUCAGAUCUUUGUAGUCCUUUGUGAAUAAUUUUGGCAUCACAUCUUCAGGAGAACAAUAAUAGCCGACACUUAUAUAAUGUGCCAGGCACUCUUCUAUGCACUUUAAAUAUACUCACUUAACCCAUACAGCAACCAUGAGGCAGAUCUCAUUACUGCCUUCAAUUUACAGAUGAAUGAGAAGCAGAGAAGUGACUUGCCCAGCCUCACACAGCUAGUAGGCAGCACCAGAACCCUUGCUCUUAACCACUGUGCUAUUUUGAAGCAGCUUUUUUCAAAUUAACUUUAAAAAAUGCACACCCACUUCUUAAAGGAGAACAUUUAAAAUGUUAAUACCUAGAGCAGGAGACUUUACAAAACACACACACACACAAAGCCAAUUAAAGGGAGCAGAGAACUGUGUAACCCAGAAGUCUGAGAGGAGUUGGCUUUUCCAUUGGAGCACUAAAUUUAGCUCAUAAUUCUUGCCAGCUAAUAAAAAAAAAGUGAAGCAUGUUAGAUUAUAUGGUUCUCAUUGUUUUGUAGAGUAAGAACACUAAUUAUUUUGUGGAGAAAAAACUUUUUGGCAACUGAAUUCUAGAAGUAAUUGCUAGAAUUUUAAUAAAAAGCCCGGUGUUAGACGUUUUAAAAAACUUUUUAUAUUGUGAAAUGUCAUACUUUAGAAAAAUGUGUAAACAUCAAUGUACAGGUUACUGGAUUAUUGUAAAUUAAACCUUACAACCGGCCAGGCGCAGUGGUUCACGCCUGUAAUCCUAGCUCUUUGGAGGCCGAGGUGGGUGGAUCACGAGGUCAGGUGUUCGAGACCAGCC